AGAGUUUGAUCAUGGCUCAGGAUGAACGCUAGCUACAGGCUUAACACAUGCAAGUCGAGGGGCAGCAUGUUGGUUGCUUGCAACCAACGAUGGCGACCGGCGCACGGGUGAGUAACGCGUAUCCAACCUACCCUUGUCCAUCGGAUAACCCGUCGAAAGGCGGCCUAACACGAUAUGCGGUUCACGGCAGGCAUCUAAGGUGAACGAAAUGUGAAGGAGAAGGAUGGGGAUGCGUCUGAUUAGCUUGUUGGCGGGGUAACGGCCCACCAAGGCUACGAUCAGUAGGGGUUCUGAGAGGAAGGUCCCCCACAUUGGAACUGAGACACCGGUCAAACCUCCGUACGGGAGCA
rnacentral:rRNA from 1 species